UACGGAGGAUCCGAGCGUUAUCCGGAUUUAUUGGGUUUAAAGGGAGCGUAGGUGGAUUGUUAGGUCAGUUGUGAAAGUUUGCGGCUCAACCGUAAAAUUGCAGUUGAAACUGGCAGUCUUGAGUACAGUAGAGGUGGGCGGAAUUCGUGGUGUAGCGGUGAAAUGCUUAGAUAUCACGAAGAACUCCGAUUGCGAAGGCAGCUCACUGGACUGCAACUGACACUGAGGCUCGAAAGUGUGGGUAUCAAACAGG
rnacentral:rRNA from 1 species